GUCAUUAUCAGUAACUUCCAGAUAAAAUUGAAGCAUACAAAGAAGAUAAGCAUAACCCUUAUGCAAAGAUGACACGUACAAAUUGAGAGAGAUUGUUAGUAAUU